CAGUCACAAAGGGUAGUCAAUUAUAUCUCAUGACCGAUGAAACCGGUUGUUUACCAGGUGUCUUAGCACUAGCAAUUAGAGAAGUUGGCCAGUUAAGCAUCACUUUAUGCAGCUGUGUCAGGUCCAAUUAAUAAGCUUUCUCUCCCACCUGUGUGCUCAGCCAUUAAUGAAAUGGAAUAACCCCCCACCCCACUAUGUCCUUGAGGCUUUUAUGCUUAGUGAUGUGAACUGCAUCUCCCUCAUAAUACUCUGAAGGUAUAAACAGCUUGACUUGAGUUUUUAGUAUAGAAAAAAACUUCCAUUUUUUUCCUAGGCCUCAGCCUGAACUUCUGUUUUGAGCAAGAAACUGCUUAAAGGAACCAGUUUCUUGAUAAGUACUCCAAAGGAUUAUUGAAGGUAUAGUCGAUGAAGGAUUGCAAUAUCAAAAAGGACUAAGGGACUCCAAGUGGGAAAUGGGGCCUGGUUAUAUUAUCUCACAGUGAGUCUACAGAAACUUGGAACCAGCCCUGGUGCAAAGACAACACUGGUGUCAAUGAUGGUGUUCUUGACUGCUUGAAGAAAAUUGUUGGUCACCGCAAGAGAUUAGAAGGAUGUGGAAUGAAAGGGCUGGCCCAUAGAAUUUGGGUACAGUAAUAACAACGGAAGAGACAUUUAUCUGAAAAGUUAUUUUUUAAAAAACGGAAACCCAUUUUAUUUCUGAGUCUGGAAAGAUAUUGAGAAGAUGGGUAGACUUGUGGAUGCUGUCUGAUUGAACACCCUGUCUCCAAAUGGAUUGGGUAGAGCUAGUUUGGAGAAAGGUAGAGCUAGUUUGGAGUCUCUCUUUAGCUGUGCUGAGGAGUUAUGUUUAAGAGUGCCUACCAGCUCUGGAAAAGUCUCUCUGCGUCUUAAGCAUUGACUUAAAAUAAAAGCAGCUGCUCCUCUAUUUAA